GACUAAGACAUGCUAGUCGUGCGCUUCAAGCCACUGUGGAGGCGCGGCGCACAGCUCAGUAACACGUGGCUAACCUACCCUUGGGACGGAAACAACCCCGGGAAACUGGGGCUAAUUUCCGAUAGGUGAAGACUCCUGGAAUGGAUCUUCGCCCAAAAGGCGUUUAGACCAUGCUUCUAAGCGCUGCCCAAGGAUGGGGCCGCGGCCGAUCAGGUAGUUGGUGAGGUAACGGCUCACCAAGCCUAUAACCGGUUCGGGCCGUGAGAGCGGGAGCCCGGAGAUGGGCACUGAGACAAGGGCCCAGGCCCUACGGGGCGCAGCAGUCGCGAAACCUCCGCAAUACGCGAAAGCGUGACGGGGCCAUCCCGAGUGCCGUCCGCUGAGGAUGGCUUUUCCCCAGUGUAGAUAGCUGGGGGAAUAAGGAGAGGGCAAGUCUGGUGUCAGCCGCCGCGGUAAUACCAGCUCUCCGAGUGGUGGGGAUGUUUAUUGGGCUUAAAGCAUCCGUAGCCGGCUGGGCAAGUCCCCUGUUAAAUCUAACGAUUCAAUCGUUGGAUUGCGGGGGAUACUGCUCGGCUAGGGGGCGGGAGAGGCCGACGGUAUUCCCGGGGUAGGGGUGAAAUCCUAUAAUCCCGGGAGGACCACCAGUGGCGAAGGCUGUCGGCUAGAACGCGCCCGACGGUGAGGGAUGAAAGCUGGGGGAGCGAACCGGAUUAGAUACCCGGGUAGUCCCAGCUGUAAACGAUGCAGGCUAGGUGUUCGGGCGGCCACGUGCCGCUCGAGUGCCGCAGGGAAACUGUUAAGCCUGCCGCCUGGGGAGUACGGCCGCAAGGCUGAAACUUAAAGGAAUUGGCGGGGGAGCACCACAAGGGGUGAAGCUUGCGGUUUAAUUGGAGUCAACGCCG
rnacentral:rRNA from 1 species